CUUUUAUCUUUUAUUUAUAGUGAUCUUCAUAUUCAUUUCUCAACUGAGGCAGGUAUUUCAGGGAGAGCUUGCAUUGAUCUCUAAUCUUUUUUUCUCUCUCUUUUUGUAACAUACACUUUUGGCCCUUAAGAAAUAGCUCUGAUAGAAGUUUGCAUUUUUUUUUUUAAAGGAAAAGCAAGAGUUUGAGAUCAUGGAUUUUUUUUAACCUGCUGAAGAGAGAAUCAGACUUUGUCACCCAGUAGGUGAUGUGGUUUUAAAUAAAAUCUGCAUCCCACUAUUUUUUUAAAGUGCAUUUGUCUUCAAGAGAUGGAGCUUGACUUGACUCUUUCAUGUAGCUGACUUCUGAUAAUUAACAGGAGAAACAUGGAUAAUGCCCUCUGUGAAGCUCCAGAAUCAGAGAUACUCUGAAAAUGAUAUCUGUCAAAUGUUAUUGUCAUGCUGCACAUAGAUCUCUGGUCUUGAGUCAGCUGAUGCGGCAGCAGGGACAAGUCAUUGAUCUUCCAAUUUAUCCGCUACUCUUACAUAUCCUGAGGUUGAGGCAGCCUGGGGAGAUUGAUGGAGCCCUGAUAC
ensembl:lncRNA